GACGAACCGUGCGAACGUUUAUUCGGAAUCAUUGGGGCUUAAAGGGCGCGUAGGCGGGUCGACACGUCGGGACUGAAAUCCCCCGGCUCAACCGGGGAACGGGCCCCGAUACGAUCGACCUCGAGGUGAGAAGGGGGACCCGGAACGUCCGGUGGAGCGGUGAAAUGCGUUGAGAUCGGACGGAACGCCGAGUGGCGAAAGCAAGGUCCUGGGCUCAUAUCUGACGUGAGGCGCGAAAGCCAGGGGAGCGAACGGGG
rnacentral:rRNA from 1 species